GACGAACGCUGGCGGCGUGCCUAAUACAUGCAAGUAGGACGCAGUUGCGAACGGGUGAGUAACGCGUAGGUAACUACCUAUUAGAGGGGGAUAACUAUUGGAAACGAUAGCUAAUACCGCAUACUAGUAGAUGGACCUGCGUUGUAUUAGCUAGUGGGUAGGGUAAUGGACUACCUAGGCAACGAUACAUAGCCGACCUGAGAGGUUGCUCGCCCACACUGGGACUGAACAACGGCCCAGACUCCUACGGGAGGCAGAAUUAGGGAAUCUUCGGCAAUGGGGGGAGCCCUAACCGGGCACCGCCGCGUGAGUGAAGAAGGUUUUCGGAUCUUAAAGCUCUUUUGUUGAGGAAGCGGUACUUACCCAGAAAGGGACGGCUAACUACGUGCCAGCACCGCGGUAAUAC
rnacentral:rRNA from 1 species